CAUUAAGAAGCUUUCAAAUCAAGCAAUAGCCUUUUAAGCUAUAGAUCGGUGAUUUAAUCCACCCUUAAUGA
rnacentral:tRNA from 1 species